rnacentral:rRNA from 1 species
GUGGGGAAUUUUGGACAAUGGGCGCAAGCCUGAUCCAGCCAUACCGCGUGGGUGAAGAAGGCCUUCGGGUUGUAAAGCCCUUUUGUUGGGAAAGAAAUCCUGUCGGUUAAUACCUGGCGGGGAUGACGGUACCCAAAGAAUAAGCACCGGCUAACUUCGUGCCAGCAGCCGCGGUAAUACGAAGGGUGCAAGCGUUACUCGGAAUUACUGGGCGUAAAGCGUGCGUAGGUGGUGGUUUAAGUCCGUUGUGAAAGCCCUGGGCUCAACCUGGGAAUUGCAGUGGAUACUGGAUCACUAGAGUGUGGUAGAGGGAUGCGGAAUUUCUGGUGUAGCAGUGAAAUGCGUAGAGAUCAGAAGGAACAUCCGUGGCGAAGGCGGCAUCCUGGGCCAACACUGACACUGAGGCACGAAAGCGUGGGGAGCAAACAGGAUUAGAAACCCUGGUAGUCC